GAGUGAAUAAAAAGCGGUUUCUGGGCUGGUGCGGCGGCGCUCCCGGUCCCGAUCGGGAGCAGGACGACGGCGGCAGAGAUCUGGGAGGCGGGGAACGGCGGGGAAGUGGCGGAGGUCGGGAUCCAUCUCGGCGGUUCGUAGUGGAGGCCGGUCGCGGCGGCGCUCCCGAUCCCCGAUCCGAUCGGUAGCAGGACGACGGCGGCAGAGUUCCGGGAGGAGGGGAACGGUGGGGAAGUGGCGGAGGUCGGGAUCCAUCCCGACGGUUCGUAGUGGAGGCCGGCUGCAGCGGUGCUCCAUGGCUGUGGCGACGGCGGCAGAGUUCUGGGAGGCGGGGAACGGUGGGGAAGUGGCGGAGGUCGGGAUCCAUCCCGACGGUUCGUAGUGGAGGCCGGCGGCGGCGGUGCUCCAUGGCUGUGGCGACUCGGUCUUCUGGGAAGAAGAUACAAGGGAGGGAGACGAGGUGAGAUGGAGAGAAGAGAAGGGAGAAUAGGGACUGCGCGGCUACCUGCUGCUAGUCCGACGGCAGCUCCGGUCAUCGGAUCAGAUCAGGCCAACUCUUGAUGGAUUUCCAAUGUGUUGCUGGCCUCCCAAUUUUUUCCGGUUGCUGGCCUCCCAAUUUUUUCCGUCGUGCAGCCGCUCCCUGUCUCCCUGUGUCGUCCCAAGAUGGUCCUGCUGGGCGCUAUCAUGACGGCCGAGCGUGUGCUAUCCACGGAACACAGCUCCUCCACCCAGGCCCUCCUCCGCAACGCCGGCGAGGACACUACUUCGUCCGAACCGAUUAUCACAACCACUCAUAGGUCUUGGACAUGAUGGCCGGACGCGAUGAGGAGGACAUACUGGAUCCCCAUGGAUGCCAAGGAUUCGAGGACAUUGGCAGAUGUAGAGGAGGCAAUGAGGACGGAGAUGAUUGCGGCACACAAUUUAAAUAAACCAGAAUAUCCUGAAAAUUAUAUUUGGUGUAUAGAAUUCAGUUUUAGUGUUUGAGUGCAUUUUCAUCAUUCACUAACUCCAGUAGUGAGUAAAAAUAUAUAAAACUAUGUGACUUGUAAAUUUUUGUGUCUGUCGUGCGUCCCAACGAUUCCAUCGGCAUCGGCCCUCCCCUACCCUGGUGCGAACUGCAGUAUUAGCGGUCUCCUUGGAGUCCUGAAGCAGCUCAAGGGCAUCGUCCUUGGUGCGCCUCCUCAAGGCUUGAUGCUUUCUACAGGAAAAAAAAUGGUUCUUUUCUUUGAGAUGAGGAAAAUUACUUCCCUUUCUACAGGAAAAGAUGGUUCUGUUAGAUAAAUGUCUUCCCAAGUUAAAGGCACAUGGCUCUGAAGUACUAAUAUUCUCUGAGGGGCACCAUAACAUGUGAAAAUUUUGAAGAGCGUUGUGAAGAUUUGUGGGAGCAGCUCCGACUCUAAUUAAAGAAGUUCCACGCAGCGGGCAUGAAGAUGGUCACAUCUAUAUGUAUAGUUGUGCUGCAGGACAUGUGCUAUUCUGAAAACGGAGCUUCUCUAUUGGAUGACAGCUCAUGAUGGUAAUUUCAGAUAUGAAGCUAAGGAAAGCGCGCCUCAUAAUUCGUUAGAUGUAACCCAGCAGGGCCAAUUAGAUAUUGUUUUUUUAAAAGCCUUCAUGGCGCACUUUAUUGCGAAUUAAAUAACGAUACAUCAUUCAUUACAUCUGAAAUAAUAAAACCAGGGGGAUCAUCGUCC
rnacentral:rRNA from 1 species